ensembl:snRNA U6 U6 spliceosomal RNA
GUUCUACGCUCAUUUCGGCAGUACAUAUCCUAAAAUUGGAAUGAUACAGAGAAGAUUAGCAUGGCCCCUGCCUGAGAAUGACAUGCAAAUUUGUAAGCAUUCCAUAUUUUUU